rnacentral:rRNA from 1 species
GAUGAACGCUGGCGGCGUGCCUAAUACAUGCAAGUCGAGCGAACAGAUAAGGAGCUUGCUCCUUUGACGUUAGCGGCGGACGGGUGAGUAACACGUGGAUAACCUACCUGUAAGACUGGGAUAACUUCGGGAAACCGGAGCUAAUACCGGAUAACAUAUUGAACCGCAUGGUUCAAUAGUGAAAGGCGGCUUUGCUGUCACUUAUAGAUGGAUCCGCGCCGUAUUAGCUAGUUGGUAAGGUAACGGCUUACCAAGGCAACGAUACGUAGCCGACCUGAGAGGGUGAUCGGCCACACUGGAACUGAGACACGGUCCAGACUCCUACGGGAGGCAGCAGUAGGGAAUCUUCCGCAAUGGGCGAAAGCCUGACGGAGCAACGCCGCGUGAGUGAUGAAGGUCUUCGGAUCGUAAAACUCUGUUAUCAGGGAAGAACAAAUGUGUAAGUAACUGUGCACAUCUUGACGGUACCUGAUCAGAAAGCCACGGCUAACUACGUG